ensembl:lncRNA
UUUGGAGAUUACGACAGGAGUGGCUGGUAUUUUUCCAACGUCCCCUGGGCGUUAAAAUGCAAAACAGCGAGCAAUGUUUUCAGAGAGGACCUGGGGACGGGGUUGAGACCUCAGUGUGAACUGUUUUCUUUCGGAAGCUGAGGACUGUAGGGUUGGCUGAGCUGCUCUGCUCAUUCAAAGUCUCUUCGCUUCUUACAAAGGGAGUUCCCAUCAUGGCUCAGCAGUAACGAACCUGACUAGUAUCCAUGAGGAUGCAGGUUUGAUCCCUGGCCUUGCUCAGUGGGCUAAAGAUCCUUCACGGCCGUGAGCUGUGGCGUAGGUCACAGAGGCGGCUCAGAUCCCGUGUUGCUGUGGCUGUGAUGUAGGCCAGCAGCUGUAGCUCCAAUUUGACCCGUAGCCUGGGAUCUUCCAUAUACUGCGGGUGUGGCCCUAUAAAGCACAAAAAACAACAACAAAAAAAGCCCAAAAAGCAGCAACCAAAAACCCCAAAACAAAACAGAGUGGGAGAAACCUACUGGACAAAUAAAAACAUUUCCCAAACCCCAGGGGACAGCCUCUUGAAGGGUCACCAGCCGCCUUCUCGCAGACACGAGUUGAACCACAAAGACCCCAGAGUCCCAGGACACAAAACAUUUUUUCAGUUGUAAAAAGCAUAGAGAGACGAGACAAAUCUGCAAAUGUUUCUUGUUCACGUACACAGUUGUUUAACGGUCCCCCAAACCACAAUCAGCAGUGUCAGCAGAUACUCUGUAUACAAAUGACUGAUGGCUUUGCUGUUUGAAUGACUACAAAGUAAACUAUUUCUUCCUUUUCCCAAAGAUUAGGCAACAACGUUUUUUUUUUUUUUUAAUGCUCAAAUAGGCACUGUUUAAAUCUGUUGGGUAUGCUUAUCUUUGAAGAGUUUUGCAAGAUCCGCUAGCAUCUCAAGGUAAUGUAAUCCACCAGCAACCACAGAAUCAUGCCUGGUAUUUCUACACAGUUUCACAAUUGUUGGAAGUUUCUGGACAAGCACAAAGACGCCUGAAGGCGAGAGAGAGAGAGAGAGAGGGGGACUGCGUUUUCCAUGCCUCCUUCUGCUUGGUUACACUUUCCUUUUUAACUCCUGGUUCCACAAGCACUUUUCAGAGCUAAAGAAAAGGAUGGAGCGACACUUAAUCACUGGAUCCACGAAGCCAGGAGGUUGUGAGCCACUCAGACAGCCAGGGACUUUCCAGAGUGUUGGGAAGGAGCCUGUGCAGACGCACGGCGUGGGUGGAAGUGUUUCUCCUGCCCGUUGUCCCUUCUGGUUCCAGUGGGUGACAUGGAAAGAGGUUCUGAAGGGACCUCACUCGUUUCAGCCUGUGGUCCUUGACGGGGACACUUGACACUGUCACAACCUAGGGGUGGGGGGGUGCAACUGGUAUCUCGCAGGUGAAAACCAGGAAUGUUGAUCAACCCCCCCACCACCACACACACACACAGAAUGACCCAGACCUAAGUGUCAGUGCUGCUGAGGGCAAGAAAUCCUGUUAGCAUGUCAGCUGCUUCCUGUCUGUCUGCCUACCUCCCCACCUCUACGUCCUUCCCACCAGCUACCCACUCAUCCAUCCAACCAUCCAUCCUCCAUCCAACCAUCCAUUUGUCCAUCCAUCCGUCCACUCAUCUACCCUCCAUCCAUCCAUCCCCCCACUCAUCCAUUCAUCCAUAGGUCCACCCCUCACCCAUCCAUCCACUCUUUCAUCCAUCCAUUUACCCCCUCCCCCAUCCAUCCAUCUCUCUCUCUCUCUCUACCUGUCUAACUGCUACUGGUGUUGUGUCUCUCAAGAACACGGGCUAACAAUCAGAGCAUUGAGGAAAGAAAGCCUGUGCCUCUAUUGCUGACACCAAGAAUAGGGGGACAGGAGGCAAGACUGGGGUGUGUGGGCAAGCAGAGCAGAGCCCCAGAAGAGCAGCCCCAUGGAUUUCUAUGAGGUCCCCCGAAUUGGGGGGAUUAUUUAGACUCUGGUCCCAAGUUCCCCAGUCAGUAAGUGUUGGAUUCAGACCAACCAACAUUCCGUUAUCGCCAAAUAAACAUACCACCAGACCACCACGAUCCGAGGCAAGGAUUCUCAGAAGAGGAUGAAGAAUAGGCUCCUGCUCCCCUGAUGAACCUCUGGGCUUCCAGGGUACCGAGGGCUUUUCCGGGAUGUCUGGACUUCAGGCCUUUCCCACCCAUCACGGUCUGCACUGUGCGCUGAAAGCGCUUGGCUUCUUUUCCAUCAGCGCCCCAUUCAUUCCACCCUGGUGUCCAGUGUUUGAGGGGCCUCCGGAGACACAACACCUCAUGGGUGAAAAGAGAAUCAGGUUGCAGCUUGGAGCCACGGAGUGUGCAGCUGCAAGAGGGUAACAGCAAGGAAGGCAUCCCAAGGCCACGGUGUUGCUUCGUCAAAGUAAGUAUUUUGAUGACUUCCGAGGGUGAGAUAAGAACCCCAUGAGCCCGCCCUCCCAGUCCUGGACAUUUACCCCAAAGAACUGAAAUCCCCACCCCACAGAGGUCUCUGAACUCCCACGUUCACUGCAGCAUGAGUCACAGCGGUCAGGAUGUGAAAACCAUCUCACUGUUCAUUGACCGACACAUAGAUGGACCCCCAAACGUGCUCUGCACGUGCAGUGGGCUACUUCCAGCCCGAAAAAGCGAAGGAAAUCCUGCCACACGCACCAGUGCACAGCAACCUGCAGAACCAGAUGCUCCAGGCACUGGGAGGAGGCACAGAAGCCAGUCAUAGAAGGACAAAUACUGCCUGAUUUCCCAGAUGCGAGAUCCAGAAAAGACAGGUAACCUCAGAGAAACAAGGUCUUUAGAAGUCGGGCGACAGUGACUCAGCAUGAUUGCGUGGUAGCCUUGAGAACAGGCUUAGAAAAGCGCUCACUGCCCCAUGGCCCAGCAUCUCCCACAUGUCCCCGGACAAGACAGCCUGGGAUCGGUCCUUGGCCUCGGCCUCAGCAGGAUCGAGAAAGAGCUCCCGUCCUACCAGGUGAGCGAGAAGGAUCAGAAAAGCCCUGCACGGGAUCUGAAACCUACGGUGUCAUGGAACCACAGCCCAAAGCGGUAAGCUAAGGACUCUUGUGCGAAACAAAAUCAAGGUGACUGUGGCCGAAGUGCAAGACUCGAAUAGGGUCCAGGGUUGCAUAACUCAAUUCUCCAAAUGUCCAGGAUACCACAGGAAAAAAAAAUUCACUCAUCAUAGCAAGAACCAGAAAAGUCACAACCUGAAUGAGAAAAAGCAAUCAUCUGACGCCCAAAGACAGAUAAAGCAGAUGCUGGAAUUAUCUGACAAAGCUUCAGGCAUCCAUCAUAAGAAAAUGAACAAACGAAACAUCGAAAUCCUUGGCAAAACCACUUCUACCUGUAGAACACAUACCAUAUGCUACCACGUACAUAUUAGUUAUACAGCACAAUUGAAACUACCUCCGAUUUAGGGACAGAUACAUUUGGCAGAAAUAGAAAGAUACAAAUUGCAAGAAUGAUCCCCAGAUUUGUAAUUGUGGUGACCAGUGGGAGAGGAAAGAAAUACAAUGAGAAGGGGAUGCUCAGUAUGCUUCAGCUCGACAUGCAAUGUUUCAAUUCUGAAGGCUGACUGUGGGUACAGGUUCAUUACAAUAGUCUUAUGGGUAAAAUAUUUCAUAAUAAAAAUGACU